GAUGAACGCUGGCGGCGUGCCUAAUACAUGCAAGUCGAGCGAACAGACGAGGAGCUUGCUCCUCUGACGUUAGCGGCGGACGGGUGAGUAACACGUGGAUAACCUACCUAUAAGACUGGGAUAACUUCGGGAAACCGGAGCUAAUACCGGAUAAUAUAUUGAACCGCAUGGUUCAAUAGUGAAAGACGGUUUUGCUGUCACUUAUAGAUGGAUCCGCGCCGCAUUAGCUAGUUGGUAAGGUAACGGCUUACCAAGGCAACGAUGCGUAGCCGACCUGAGAGGGUGAUCGGCCGCACUGGAGCUGGGACACGGUCCAGACUCCUACGGGAGGCAGCAGUCGGGAAUCUUCCGCAAUGGGCGAAAGCCUGACGGAGCAACGCCGCGUGAGUGAUGAAGGUCUUCGGAUCGUAAAACUCUGUUAUUAGGGAAGAACAAAUGUGUAAGUAACUAUGCACGUCUUGACGGUACCUAAUCAGAAAGCCACGGCUAACUACGUG
rnacentral:rRNA from 1 species